rnacentral:rRNA from 1 species
UACAGAGGUCUCAAGCGUUGUUCGGAUUCAUUGGGCGUAAAGGGUGCGUAGGUGGUGGGGUAAGUCGGAUGUGAAAUCCCGGGGCUCAACCUCGGAACUGCAUUCGAUACUGCUUUGCUUGAGUACUGGAGAGGAGAUUGGAAUUUACGGUGUAGCAGUGAAAUGCGUAGAUAUCGUAAGGAAGACCAGUGGCGAAGGCGGAUCUCUGGACAGUUACUGACACUGAGGCACGAAGGCCAGGGGAGCAAACGGG